rnacentral:rRNA from 1 species
CCGCGUGGGGUGAAGAAGGCCUUCGGGUUGUAAAGCCCUUUUGUUGGGAAAGAAAUCCAGCCGGUUAAUACCUGGUUGGGAUGACGGUACCCAAAGAAUAAGCACCGGCUAACUUCGUGCCAGCAGCCGCGGUAAUACGAAGGGUGCAAGCGUUACUCGGAAUUACUGGGCGUAAAGCGUGCGUAGGUGGUUGUUUAAGUCUGUUGUGAAAGCCCUGGGCUCAACCUGGGAACUGCAGUGGAAACUGGACGACUAGAGUGUGGUAGAGGGUAGCGGAAUUCCUGGUGUAGCAGUGAAAUGCGUAGAGAUCAGGAGGAACAUCCGUGGCGAAGGCAGCUACCUGGACCAACACUGACACUGAGGCACGAAAGCGUGGGGAGCAAACAGGAUUACAUACCCUGGUAGUCCACGCCCUAAACGAUGCGAACUGGAUGUUGGGUGCAAUUUGGCACGCAAUAUCCAAGCUAAGGCGUUAAGUUCGCCGCCGGGGGAGUACGGUCGCAAGACUGAAACUCAAAGGAAUUGACGGGGGCCCGCACAAGCGGUGGAGUAUGUGGUUUAAUUCGAUGCAACGCGGACAACCUUACCUGGCCUUGACAUGUCGAGAACUUUC